AACGAACGCUGGCGGCAGGCCUAACACAUGCAAGUCGAGCGAGGACUUCGGUUCUAGCGGCGGACGGGUGAGUAACGCGUGGGAAUCUGCCCUUCUCUACGGAAUAGCCCUGGGAAACUGGUAGUAAUACCGUAUACGCCCUAUUGGGGAAGGAUUUAUCGGAGAAGGAUCUGCCCGCGUUGGAUUAGGUAGUUGGUGGGGUAAUGGCCUACCAAGCCGACGAUCCAUAGCUGGUUUGAGAGGAUGAUCAGCCACACUGGGACUGAGACACGGCCCAGACACCUAGGGGAGGAAGAAGGGGGGAAACUGAGACAAUGGGGGCAACCCGGAACAAGACAGGCCGGGUGAGUGAUGAAGGCCUUAGGGUUGAAAAGCUCUUUCAGCGGGGAAGAUAAUGACGGAACGAGCAAAAGAAGCCCCGGCAAACUCGGU
rnacentral:rRNA from 1 species